rnacentral:rRNA from 1 species
AUGAGGGUCAAAGCUACUUUCUUUAACAGAACAAAGUUUGUUGUCGGUGAUGGCAAUAACACUCGAUUCUGGGAAGAUACCUGGCUAGGUGAUGCACCACUGGCACUCCAGUAUCCGGCGCUUUAUCGCAUUGUGCAGCGACGGGAUGCUCUGGUUGCAACGAGUCUGCAAUCUGCUCCUCUUAACAUCCAAUUUAGGAGGGUGCUUGUGGGUGACCGGUGGGAGGCUUGGAUUCAUCUGGUGAGUAAACUCAUGGAGGUUCAACUUACUCAUCAGCCCGAUCAGUUGUAUUGGAAGCUUACUAAAUCUGGUGAAUUCACAGUCAAGUCGAUGUACAUUGAUGUCAUCAAUUCUAGUGUAAUUCCUAGUUCCAAACACGUUUGGAAAGUUAAGGUUCCUCUCAAAAUUAAAGUGUUUAUGUGGUUUAUGCAUAAACAAGUCAUUCUAACGAAAGAUAAUUUGAUUAAGCGCAACUGA